AUUCAUCAUCGAAGGGAGGGGGGAGAAGAAUGAAGGAGAAGGGAGUAUUGACCUUUUCUUUUUCUGUUGGUGCAUCAGUGUCGGCAUCAUCAUUGGAGGGAGGACGACCUUCACCUUUCGAUUCCAAUUUUUCAAGAGUUCACCUUUCGAUUCUAAUUUUCCAAGAGCAAAGUAUGUCGGGAGGGAGGAUAGCUUGGGAAGGAGA
rnacentral:lncRNA from 1 species